rnacentral:rRNA from 4 species
GGUUUCCGUAGGUGACCUGCGGAGGAUCAUUA